UCAUUCGUCGUGUAUUGGGCUAUAGGUUUGUUGUUCCCGGCCCGAUAGACGUUGCCAGCCUCGGUGACUUCUGAUCUUCUUCACGUCUUCUGGAACGGAAUGUGUUAUGGCUUUUUUCCGUGAUAAAUCUCAUUAAUUCAGAUGCCCACUACAAGUUCUUCAAUGUGUUAUUGCGUCGGCGAGGCUGUGGGAUUUCGGGUAUAAAUAUGUCAGUAUUUCUCUUCUGGAAAUCAUCCUCUCUUCAUCUCCCUUCUACUCAUCUCUCUUAUAUAGUGUUCUUCUCCGAUUUGAAGUCCCGCAAGUGUUCAUCCGUUGAAUAGCCAGAGAGAAGAUUAAAAGUGAAGAGAGUAAUAAGGAUUCUGCUCUGAUCGAUGAUAAGCCUCCUACUGCAGCCUCUGUGAACGUUUUUCUCAGACAGGCAUUGCAUGCUGAUGUUCGGUCUCUUCUGCUUGAUUGAUUGUACAACCGAGAUGAACAGGAAUCCAGAUCGUAGCUCUAUAGGUUCACAUGAUCCAUCAAGACCCAAAAUGUUCAUAUUCAUCUGUACAUCCAAUUGUUCCCAUAAAGGAAUAUAAUGAAAUCAUCUAAGCUGUUCGUCGGUCAGACUAUCUUGGAAGACCACUGAAUAUCGAGAGUAGUUUCCACUGGCUGUGCUCAUGGCUUUGGUUUCUUUUUCUUUGCUGGUCCCAGUGUUGGUGUGAUAGCCAUAUUGCUCAUUCACAUCACUGAUGUUAAAACUAUAGUUUUACUCGCUAAAAAGUUAAAUGUGGAAUGGUUUGUCGACCAGUGACAUGGAGACGAUGGAUCUGGGACUAUUCUAAGGAUCACCGCUAUUCUAUUUAACUAGAGCAUGUGUCAUUCAAGUUCAUGGAACCUUGGUAACAUUCGGAGUUGGUCAUGUGCUCAAACUCUGGUAUCCAAAAACAAAGUAGCGAUGGACAUUGCAGGUAGUGUGACGUGAGAGCACAGAUUCCAAUCUUAUAUUGCAAGGUUUGGCCCAAGUUGGAUACAAUAACAUCUGCUAACUGAAGCUCUUGACUAGCAUGGUCUGAAGGGAUUAAGGGUGAAUUUCCAUUUUCAUGUCCCUUAUGCCAUUGCCUAAUUCGUUUUUUCUUUAUAUUUUUUUUGUAUGGAAACAGUUGAAUUUAUCAAAAGGAAUCAUUCAGUGUAAAAAAAAGAGCAUGCGUCAUUGGUAUCAACAAAUUUCAGGAUUUGAUUUUCGUAUUUUUUAUCAUAGUUGUAAGAAUAUUUGUAUCCGUUUGAGAUUUAAGAUUUCACAUUUUGGUUUCAA